CUUAAGGCAAAACAAAUGCACUGACAUGUUUUAAGAUCAGUCAGUGCACGUUUCUUUCAGUUGAAAUAGCUCAGAUUUACAUUUUAGUCUCGGACUAGACUUAAGCCUUCUCUAUGAAACCGGAGGUUAAUGUGGCUUUUGAUUUCCACUUUCCUGCAGAGUUUAGCUCCAACUUUGAUUAAACUCAACUUCCUUCAAUUAUCGAUUAAUUUCAAUAAUUAAAUUAUUCAAUUAAUCAACAUUGAUUAGCUUAAUCAGGUGUGCUAGAUUAGGGUUGGAGCUAAACUCUGAAGAAGAGUGGCCCUUGAAAACCAGUUUUGAAAUUGCCUAUUCUGUUUAUAUUUAUACAGCAGAGGAAUUGCUGCAGGAGUCAAGCAUAUCACGGCCUCUUGAAGGUAUUUUUCUAAAAUUCUAUUCUAUAAUUCAGAAUAUUAUAUUCUGAAAUUCAGAAUAUUAUAUUUAUUGUAAUUAUUAAUAAUUCUAGUUAGAGUGAAAUUUUGUUUUAUGCCACAGUUGCUUCGCAGCUCCUCGUUGAAGAGCCCCAAUGUUCGGACUCUGCAACAAAAAGUAAGUCAAGUUUUGAUUUUUAAAAAUACAGUAAUACUACACAUUCAAAGAGCAUUAUGCAAUAUUGCUUCACAGGCUAUCGCACAAAAGUCUUGCAAAGACUACAAGAAAUUGUCGAGAACCAGCAAGACAUUCUGGCCAUGCAGAGGCAGUUACUGGCUGCAGUAGCUGUGACCGCGACACAGGAAGAUGGGGAAUUCCUGGAAAAUGGGCCAUGCCAAACAGUGGAGGAUCUGCAGACCCUUGACAGGGAUUUGGAAAAUAAAAAAAAAAGGGCCAAGAUGACGAAUUACCUUCAGUCCCUUGGAGGAGCAAACCCAGGUUCAACCUUGCGCAAAAUAUUGCGCAAGGUUGCAUCAAAUGAAGUCUUGGGUGCCUACAGCCUUAAAGGGAAAAAAGGCAAACUACCCUUCCAAAACCUGAAAAUAUGCAACGUGAUCAUAGGCAAGUUAUCAGUCAUUUUCUAUAUUUAUAGCCAAUUUUUUUUGCACUUUGGAAAAUUGUUCUUGUCCCAAUGUACAUUAUUUUAAAUGAUACCAUACCUCAAAUAGCUACAAUGUUUACAUGAUAUUAUUCCUACAUCUAGGGGCAAUGCAGAAGGCGUACAAGUCUCUAAAGGCCAGUGAGACUGAAGACCUCAUUUCAAUGGUCCUAAAAUUUGCCCCACACAGGCAUUUAAAAUGGUAUGUAAUCGUGUCAGCUUUGUUUUAAUUUUCAAUAAUUCAAUGUACCUUUGAAGUGUCUUUUUCUUCUCUGAGAAAGAGUCUGAGGAAUUUAUUUGCAUCAAAAGAUACUUGAAGAGCAGAGAUACAUUGUUAACCACUAGGAUCGUGUAGACUGCACCUCCUAUAGCAGGGAUAGGCAACUUCGGUCCUGGAGGGCCGAAGCUAAACUCUGCAGGAUAGUGGCCCUCCAGGACCGGAGUUGCCUAUCCCUGUCCUAUAGUCUGUGUUAAGUGUGGAACCUGGUACCAUUCCAUUCUUUCACACUUCCUGGAGAAGAGAUUAAUUAUCUGACAUACUGUAUUGUAAAGCUCUUUUACACACAAGUUUUUUUUUGUUUGUUUGUUUGUUUUUUCUUCAAUCUCUACUGUAUAUUUAGUUGUUACAAAUGCUGGUUCUAGCCCAAUUUAGCAGAAUUUAGGGGGGUGUAUGUAACGGAGUUUAAAUAAUGCUGUUAAAUUCAUGCAUUAAUUGGGGGAAACUCGACAUUGGCUGGCUGUUGAGUCACUCGAAUUAGUGUGCGUGAUUAUUGUGGUCGGAGUUACGUCAUUACCAGCAGAGCCUCACAUCUUUUGCUGCUUGUAAGUCGCAUCAAUAAGCGCUGUGUCAAUAACCGAGUUUAGAUUCUUUUCAAGUGCAAGGUUGGACUUUAAUACUACACACAAGUUUACUUCAUUUGCCUGUCAGUUCCUGGUUCUGUCAGUCGAGUCUAAUGUGUUAUUUGCGAUGAUUAAAUGUGAUGAGUGUGUGUAUGUGUUAACCUGCUUGUGAACUCUGAAUCUCUGUUGAUUUCAUUUAAGAUUUCUGA
ensembl:lncRNA